UACAGAGGUCCCAAGCGUUGUCCGGAAUUAUUGGGCGUAAAGGGCUCGUAGGCGGUUUGUCGCGUCGGGAGUGAAAUCCACUGGCUUAACUGGUGGCUUGCUUUCGAUACGGGCAGACUGGAGGUAUGCAGGGGAGAACGGAAUUCCUGGUGUAGCGGUGAAAUGCGCAGAUAUCAGGAGGAACACCGGUGGCGAAGGCGGGUCUCUGGGCCGAUACUGACGCUGAGGAGCGAAAGCGUGGGGAGCGAACAGG
rnacentral:rRNA from 1 species